UCGCGCGAUCGCCUUGAGUUGAUAUGGCUCAGAAUCAACGCUGGCGGCGUGCCUAACACAUGCAAGUCGAACGCGAAAGCCCCGCAAGGGGUAAGUAGAGUGGCAAACGGGUGAGUAACACGUGGGUGAUCUGCCUCAGAGUGGGGGAUAACGACCCGAAAGGGUCGCUAAUACCGCAUAACAUCCUGCCUUUGGAUAGGUGGAGAUCAAAGUUGGGGAUCCGCAAGGACCUGACGCUUGGAGAGGAGCCCGCGGCCGAUUAGCUAGUUGGUGAGGUAACGGCUCACCAAGGCAACGAUCGGUAUCCGGCCUGAGAGGGCGGACGGACACACUGGGACUGAGACACGGCCCAGACUCCUACGGGAGGCAGCAGUGGGGAAUUGUUCGCAAUGGGCGCAAGCCUGACGACGCAACGCCGCGUGGAGGACGAAGAUUUUCGGAUCGUAAACUCCUUUCGAUCGGGAAGAACAGCUUUCGGGUGAACAGCCUGAGAGUCUGACGGUACCGAGAGAAGAAGCCCCGGCUAACUCUGUGCCAGCAGCCGCGGUAAUACAGGGGGGGCAAGCGUUGUUCGGAAUUACUGGGCGUAAAGGGCUCGUAGGCGGCCGACUAAGUCCGACGUGAAAUCCCAAAGCUUAACUUUGGAACUGCGUCGGAUACUGGAUGGCUUGAAUUCGGGAGAGGGAUGCAGAAUUCCAGGUGUAGCGGUGAAAUGCGUAGAUAUCUGGAGGAAUACCGGUGGCGAAGGCGGCAU
rnacentral:rRNA from 1 species